ACAAGAACUGUUCGAGAUCGACUCAUCGCUACUGGUUAUCGUGCGAUAAGACCAUUUCGGAGACCUUUGCUUACGAACAGACACACAGUUUUCCGUAUCCAAUGUAGUGCAGAGCUCGCUAAAGUUGAAAAUUAGCAUCGUGGAGGAAGAUCCAUUGUUCCAAUGGAAUUCGGUUCAUCUUCCUUGGACGGAUCGUAGCCUGGAUUUGAACCAUAUCGAGCAUAUAUGGGACACUAUUGGGCGGAACGUGCGCGAAAGGACACCCCAGUUCAAACACAUCAUGAAAUAAACAAUGCCCUUCAUCAGAA
rnacentral:lncRNA from 1 species